AUAGACAGAAGACAACUUCCUCUCAACAAUCAUUUCCCUUUGUCAUCCUUUUCCUGGCUUCUGUUAAGGAAGGGGAAAUUGAAGUCAUCCAGCUGACAAUCACAGUUCCACAGAUACCUCAAUGGGCUGCUGCCUCUACCUGCAUAGUCUUCUUCUGGUACUGGAACCACUCUAUAUAAAUUGUUGAUGAAUAAGUAUCCUGCUUGUAGAAACUCAGGCACCAACUGGAAGACCCAGAGGCUGUGGGUCAACCCACCUGCAUCUGUGACAUCACAGCUCUAUAAACAAUGUUUGUAUGUUUUUAUUCAGAAAACAAAGAUAUUUCUAAUUUAAAAAAAUUUAAAAAAACUUAAAGAAUGCUGUCUUUUAAAAAAUAUUUAUUUAUUGGCAUGAGUUAAGAAUCACCCAAAUUUCUUUUACAUGCCUAUAAAAAUGAUAUAAUUUGUUUUCUUUAAGUUACUGAUUUACUGUGUAAUAUUUAUGAAUUGUUAAAUAUUGCAUUGGGGUUGGAUUCCCAAUUUGAUUUAUUACUUUCCUAUUAUAUUGCUUAAUUUAGAGUAGUUUAUUUAGAUUGUCAUAUCUACAGCUAACUACAAUCAAUUCACUUCUAAUUUUGUAAAAACUUCAGCAGCUCUAAGGAUUGAGUUAGCCAUUGCCUUGUAAUUAUAACGGGUAACUAUCUUUUUGAUCCUUGACUUGGAAUGAAUAGUUGACACUGAAAUUGCUAAAGAAUAAUGUGGAAAAUCCCUCUCACACUGUUCACCUUCAUUGCUGUGGAUAAUCUUUAACAACUUUAUUUUCUCAGUUGCUCUGUUCAGGUUUUUUACCUCUUACUAUGUUAAUUUUGAUGUUAGUUUUGCUGUUAUUCUAGUACUUGUUGGUCUGUUUUACAGAAUAUGAUCCCUUUCAUUGCUAUUUCUAAAUUUAUCACAAAACUGUGAGAGAAAUCCAUUAUAAUUUAAUCAUUUUAUCCAUUACGAUGUAUGAUAUACCCUUUGUAAUGGUGAUGUCUUAUUUUGAUUAAACUUAAUUAUAUAUUUUUUUAUUUUGACUUCAUAAAAACCAUAUUUUGGAUUAUUCAUUACUUUUACUAAUUUUUAGCCCU
rnacentral:lncRNA from 1 species